UACGUAGGGUGCGAGCGUUAAUCGGAAUUACUGGGCGUAAAGCGUGCGCAGGCGGUUUUGUAAGUCUGUCGUGAAAUCCCCGGGCUCACCUGGGAAUUGCGAUGGAGACUGCAAGGCUAGAAUCUGGCAGAGGGGGGUAGAAUUCCACGUGUAGCAGUGAAAUGCGUAGAGAUGUGGAGGAACACCGAUGGCGAAGGGCAGCCCCCUGGGUCAAGAUUGACGCUCAUGCACGAAAGGCGUGGGGAGCAAACGAGGAUACGAAACCC
rnacentral:rRNA from 1 species